GACGAACGCUGGCGGUGUGCUUAACACAUGCAAGUCGAACGGAAAGGCCCUGCUUUUGUGGGGUGCUCGAGUGGCGAACGGGUGAGUAACACGUGAGUAACCUGCUCUUGACUUUGGGAUAACUUCAGGUAACUGGGGCUAAUACCGGAUAGGAGCUCCUGCUGCAUGGUGGGGGUUGGAAAGUUUCGGCGGUUGGGGAUGGACUCGCGGCUUAUCAGCUUGCUGGUGGGGUAGUGGCUUACCAAGGCUUUGACGGGUAGCCGGCCUGAGAGGGUGACCGGCGACAUUAGGACUGAGAUACGGCCCAGACUCCAACGGGGGGCAACGGGGGGAAGUAUUACACAAUGGGCGGGAGCCUGAGGCAGCGGCGCCGCGUGCGGGAUGACGGCCUUCGGGUUAUAAACCGCUUUCGCCUGUGACGAAGCGUGAGUGACGGUAAUGGGUGAAGAAGCACCGGCUAACUACGUG
rnacentral:rRNA from 1 species